rnacentral:rRNA from 1 species
AGUCUGAUGGAGCAACGCCGCGUGAGUGAAGUAGGGUUUCGGCUCGUAAAGCUCUGUUGGUAGUGAAGAAAGAUAGAGGUAGUAACUGGCCUUUAUUUGACGGUAAUUACUUAGAAAGUCGCGGCUAACUACGUGCCAGCAGCCGCGGUAAUACGUAGGUGGCAAGCGUUGUCCGGAUUUAUUGGGCGUAAAGCGAGUGCAGGCGGUUCAAUAAGUCUGAUGUGAAAGCCUUCGGCUCAACCGGAGAAUUGCAUCAGAAACUGUUGAACUUGAGUGCAGAAGAGGAGAGUGGAACUCCAUGUGUAGCGGUGGAAUGCGUAGAUAUAUGGAAGAACACCAGUGGCGAAGGCGGCUCUCUGGUCUGCAACUGACGCUGAGGCUCGAAAGCAUGGGUAGCGAACAGGAUUAGAUACCCUGGUAGUCCAUGCCGUAAACGAUGAGUGCUAAGUGUUGGGAGGUUUCCGCCUCUCAGUGCUGCAGCUAACGCAUUAAGCACUCCGCCUGGGGAGUACGACCGCAAGGUUGAAACUCAAAGGAAUUGACGGGGGCCCGCACAAGCGGUGGAGCAUGUGGUUUAAUACGAAGCAACGCGAAGAACCUUACCAGGUCUUGACAUUC